rnacentral:rRNA from 1 species
UACGGAGGGGGCUAGCGUUGUUCGGAAUUACUGGGCGUAAAGCGCACGUAGGCGGCUUGAAAAGUUGGGGGUGAAAGCCCGGAGCUCAACUCCGGAAUUGCCUUCAAAACUCUCAAGCUGGAGUUCGGAAGAGGAGAGUGGAAUUCCCAGUGUAGAGGUGAAAUUCGUAGAUAUUGGGAAGAACACCAGUGGCGAAGGCGGCUCUCUGGUCCGAUACUGACGCUGAGGUGCGAAAGCGUGGGGAGCAAACAGG